rnacentral:rRNA from 1 species
AGAUUGAACGCUGGCGGCAUGGCUAAAGCAUGCAAGUCGAACGAGAAAUUCANCUUCGGGUGGAGAGUAAAGUGGCGAACGGGCGAGUAAUGCGUUUCUAACGUACCCUAAGGCCAGGGAUAGCUCGGGGAAACCCGGGGUAAUACCUGAUGAUCCCGUCGGAUCGCAUGUUCUGACGGGCAAAGGCUUGCCACCUUGGGAUCGGGGAACGUCCUAUCAGGUUGUUGGUGAGGUAACGGCUCACCAAGCCUUGGACGGGUAGCGGGUGUGAGAGCACGACCCGCCGCAUCGGGACUGAGACACUGCCCGGACUCCUACGGGAGGCUGCAGCAACGGAUCUUCCGCAAUGCGCGAAAGCGUGACGGAGCAAUGCCGCGUGCAGGAUGAAGCCCCUCGGGGUGUAAACUGCUGUCAGGGUUUAGGAAUUUUGACCAAACCCAAAGGAAGGGCCGGCUAACUUCGUGCCAGCAGCCGCGGUAAUACGAAGGGCCCGAGCGUUAAUCGGAAUCACUGGGCUUAAAGCGUGCGCAGGCGGACACGUCAGUGUCUUGUGAAAUCCCACGGCUCAACCGUGGAACUGCAGGGCAUACUGCGUGUCUUGAGGCGGGUAGGGGCUGCCGGAACUCUAGGUGUAGCGGUGAAAUGCGUAGAUAUCUAGAGGAACGCCGAAGGUGAAGACAGGCAGCUGGGCCCGUUCUGACGCUCAGGCACGAAAGCGUGGGGAGCGAACAGGAUUAGAUACCCUGGUAGUCCACGCCGUAAACGAUGCACACUAGNUCCGGGAGGUCCUGACAUCAUCCGGGCCGAAGCAAAAGUAUUAAGUGUGCCGCCUGGGGAGUACGGUCGCAAGGCUA